CUGGGGAUUUGGUGCUCUUGUUGCACUUUUCCUCCUUACCUGUUGUGCAAACUUUGCUUUUUGUAGUAACGCAUCUCUUUGUGUUCUCAGCCGCAGCUGCCAAAAUCGUCUGUAAUAACGAGAGCUGAGCCAAAUGAAAUUGGGAUGCCGAGCCGCGUAGCCUGAAAUCCUGGUGGCGAAAUUUGGCAGCUCCCCUUACAGAACGAGCUGCACAGCCUCACGUGUGAGCUGCUGCCUUUAGUUAAGUGUGCUGGUGGGGAAGGCGAAGGCAAAUGCCUUAAGGUCUACCAUGCAUGUGCUGCAAAGAGUCAAAGCUCGGUUGUCAAAGCCAAGGUGACAGUGUAACGUCAAGGAGAAACUGACCUGGAAAAUUAGCCCGGUGGAAGAAGACUUAAAAGUGGUUUUGUCAGUUAAAUGGACUCCAAACGCCGGCAAACCCAAAACACAGCAGGUUUUGGGAGGAGGAGGCGCCCAGCGUCCUUUCCUCCUUGCCAUUAACCACCCGACUGAACUCGGACGAAAUUGGCAGCAGGUGAAGUGGGGAGGACUGUAAGUAGACACGUCGUAGCAACAGGGAACAAUUUGAGGCGCAUUUUGCACACCCGAGAGGAGCCGUCCGCCUUACUGAUGUGACACUGCCUGGAGGUGAGCGCACCGUAGAUGAAAGGCUACGACGACCAUUUCUGAUAAGCCUAAAACCUCGUGGUUCAUUAAAGUCUGAAAUGCAGUUGUAGCAGAAGUGCUAAGUCACAGCUGGCACCAGUGAUUGAGCACCCGGUGGGAAGGCAGGGCCAAUCCAGGGGAGCUCAGGUGCAUGCAAUGUACCUGAGUGGCAGGAAGGGGUGGAGCCAGGAUCCACCCCUUCCCAGGCCUCAUUUAAGGGCUGGCAGUGGAAGCGAGAGCAUCUCCCUCGAGAUCCCUGCGUACCUGGGGCUUUCUGAAGCACGCCGUUGGCCUCGCGGGAGAACCGCAUCGCAUCUCUCGUCCGAGAAGAUAAGAUUUGUGUUCCCUAUCAGCGUCCCCCGGUUUCUGCAUGAAAACCAAGCAUGCAUCACAGCUGGCAAACAAGGCAAAAGAAGAUGCAUAAGGGUACCUGAAAUGAAGCAGCUUCAAGGGAGCAGAGGAUGAAGAGCAGAUCUCCAAGCAUUAGAGGGUGAGUGCCAGAUUUUUUUUUCCCUCUUUACAUCAAACCUCAUGAGUUGCCUUGCUCUCAAGAAAAGCACGUAAUUGUUUACUCAACAGUUUACUUGAUAUUUAGUUAGAGUAGCUAUUUUAGUUAGAUAUUGUUAGUUACAUUAGCUGUUGAUGAAUAUUGACUUCGAUAUUGAUGAACAUUGUUUGCUUUCUUGAGAAGUUAAGUUCUUUCUGCAUGUGAUUGUUAAUGGAAUAGAGGAGACUUCUAUUCAGGAGGAGUGGAAAGUUUAUUGGCACUGCAGGGGAAAGGCAGUUAACAAACAGUUUCUGCAAGCUGAUAAGGCAGAUACACUCACAAUGAUAUGAGAAGUUAAAGCCCCGCUUCUUUGUUUAGAGAAUAUCCACAAUCUCUUUUGAUAAAGUUACUCAGAGAUAGGCUCAAAGUAAAGGAAUAAGACACAGCAAAAGGUAAAGCCUGCAAUAACAAGAAAUUGUUUGGAGUGACUUCUGUUUAGAAGCACUCGCUCCUGUAUCCUAGUUCUGCUAAAGAAUCUCAGUUUUCAUUUAUCCUAUUUGCUGUGACUAAGGCACAUACAGAAAACUACAUUUUAUUUCUUUAUAUGUCUCUUACGAUAAGAGGCUCAGAAGCAUUUCUGUUUUGUACUUUUUGUUAAACUGAUUUACCAAUUUAGUUUUUGUUUCCUUUGAUAGAGCAAAGCAGCAAGCCUCCCCACUCAAGAGCAUUAUUUCAAGCUCCAGCUCCUGGAACAGAAUAGCAUUACCAUGCACCCAAAGACCUCAAGCUGCUGGUAAGCUAUUGCUGGUGGCCAGAGAUGUUAGAUACUCACAAGCAUGUUCUCUUCUCCUGCAGACAUUUGAAAUCUACCACUUCUGUUUCCACCUCAAGCUUACCACAGACAGAAGGGGAACCACACCACUCUGAGCAGCAGCAGCAGCUUAAAUCCUUGGUCUCGCACGGGGAGCCCCUACAAGAAGGAGGCAGCGCUUAAUAAGAUUAGCAAAUGUUUAAGUCUGAGCAAAUAAAGAUAGCAAGUUGUUUCUCAGCAAAAAACUAGCAGGUUCUGGCUGCUGACUAACAGUCAUUUCAAUAGCUCAGUGACCUCUUAGGUCACAAGCCAAGGUGCCUUUCAGGAUUUGACUUACGUUUCAAAACCAAUUGAGUUUUCUCCUCAGGCAGAACACAGAACCCCACUAAGUCCCAACUCCUACCUUCCAGCCCAGGACAAAGAGCACCAUCACAGCUCAGGAGCCCCUCAACUCCAAG
rnacentral:lncRNA from 1 species